UCGCCCGUUGCCCGGGCAACCACGUGCGUUUGUUGUCCGCUGGUCUUCACGUGUGUGCACAUCAUCGAUGGUUGUCUCUUUUUAAAACUUAAUUAUUAUUUUUUACCCUCUGGUUUAUUAACGACAGCUGGUUUACAGAGCAGUGGAGCAUGGAGCCCGGAAAGUGCAUUCCGAACAAAUUUGUGGCGACCCACCCCUCGUACAUGCUUCCCAACCGGUUUGCUCAGGUGAAUGGGGGCCCCAAAACCCCAAGCGUGUUGGGACGUGCUGAGCCACGCAGUGCCCCCCAGCCAGAUGUGUACGGAAUCCUGGACACUUAUCGCUGGAUCACCACCUACCGAGAAGCCUACAUGCCACACACAGAGGGACAUUAAAACCGAAGCACUUAUCAUAAUAAGUUCAUGGAUGAGCUAUUUGGCUGUCAAACCUAAAUAUAAUUCAUAACCAAUUUAGGAUACUAUUAAAGUGAAAGCUCUCAUUGCUAUACAUACACUAUUCCGUUUACUUUAGCUGUAGAGAUAUUUUGUUAAUUGUGGAGCAAAAUAAUGAGCAACAAUUUAAAAUACAGAUGCAAUAAGAGAUAAGGAAAGUCACAUGCAGUGCCACUUUCUGCAUUAUUUUAUGAAGCUGUUGGUACGCCACAGAAAUCUACGCAACUUGAUUAUUGUAAAGGGGCAUUUUCACUUUGAAUAGCAUAUGAUCGGUCUUCUGGAUGAUUAUGGGCCUUCUGGAUGUUUUACAGCAGCAUUUUUGUGAAACGCUGAACCAGUUUCACCUUUCUGAUUCUCAUCAGCAGUCAUACAUGGUAAAUAACAGUUGUUGAUUUUUACACUGCAAUAUGUUUGAAAAAGCACAUUAAAACAAUCCCUUGAUAUUCUUCAA